UUCCUCUCUAAUUUUUCAUUUUCCCUCUCGCAACAGGUUUCCUCUUACUCUCAGUUCUUUCUCCUCCGCUUUUCUAAACUCUUAUUUUGCUUGUUUCAAUGGCUUCUCUAACUUUGACAACACUCCUCCGUGCCUGUGGUUUUCUCGGAGAGCAUUUCCCAUUGUGUGCGUCUUCCUCGAGAUUUCAGUGGCUGUAGAGCUCAUCUUUUAUCAUCACAGAGCAUCUUCCUCUCCUUCAGGUUCCAGAAUCCUAUGAAGGAUCCAUGGAAGCACCAGAGAUGCGAAUUAGGGAGGCUGAAGCUCUUCAUAAAUUUGCCGAAGCUGCAUACACAUCAAUGAUGAAUGCAGGGUCCAUUGCUUGAUGUUGGACGAAAUCCAUGUGUAUUUCCUUGUGUGUGGCUGUAUAGACAAGGGAUUUUGUCUCUGUGGACCCGAAACAGGCUCUACCUACCACAAUCACCACCACCAAUAACAACAGAUAUUUCAAGUUUUCUUUACCCUUUUCUUUUUCACUUUUUCUGAUUCUUCUAGUCACCAACAUGGCACCCUCAACCCCUCAAGUCAUCACCUGCAAAGCUGCUGUGGCAUGGGGAGCUGGGGAGCCACUGGUGAUGGAGGAAGUGGAGGCCAGCCCUCCCCAACCAAUGGAGAUUAGGAUUAAGGUUGUCUCUACCUCUCUCUGCCGUAGUGAUCUUUCUGCUUGGGAGUUUCAUAGGUAGAUGAUGUACCUCUGGAGCAUGCUUUGGAGGGAGAUGACACAACCCCUAACUCUUAGGAUCUCUCUUAGACUUUUCCAUAUUUUGAGAAACUUUAUAUUUGUAAAGUUUAAAUUUCUAGCCUAUUUUGGAUGACUGUAAACUCUAUACUAUCACCUACUACUCUUACUGCUUUCUAUUAUUAUAAUUUAUGCAUUCUACAUAUAUAU